CUUACGGAGAGUUUGAUCCUGGCUCAGGACAAACGCUGGCGGCGUGUAUUAGGCAUGCAAGUCGAGCGAGAAGCCGGCCUUCGGGCCGGUGGAGAGCGGCGGACGGGUGAGUAACACGUGGGUAACCUGCCCUGGAGUGGGGGAUAACCCGGCGAAAGCCGGGCUAAUACCGCAUACGACUCCCGAUGAGAGAUCGGGUAGUGAAAACUCCGGUGCUCCGGGAGGGGCCCGCGGCCGAUUAGCUAGUUGGUGAGGUAACGGCCCACCAAGGCGACGAUCGGUAGCUGGUCUGAGAGGAUGGUCAGCCACACGGGGACUGAGAACGGCCCCGACUCCUACGGGAGGCAGCAGCUAAGAAUCUUGCGCAAUGGGCGAAAGCCUGACGCAGCAACGCCGCGUGCGGGAGGAAGGCCUUCGGGUUGUAAACCGCUUUUGCGAGGGAAGAAGUACUGACGGUACCUCGCGAAUAAGUCACGGCUAACUACGUGCCAGCAGCCGCGGUAAUACGUAGGUGACAAGCGUUGUCCGGAUUUACUGGGCGUAAAGCGCCCGCAGGCGGCCUUGCAAGUUUCAGGUGAAAUCUCCCGGCUCAACCGGGAGGGGUCCUGGAAAACUGCCAGGCUUGAGGCAGGGAGGGGAAUGCGGAAUUUCCGGUGUAGCGGUGAAAUGCGUAGAUAUCGGAAGGAACACCAGCGGCGAAGGCGGCAUUCUGGCCCUGUCCUGACGCUCAGGGGCGAAAGCGUGGGGAGCGAACCGGAUUAGAUACCCGGGUAGUCCACGCUGUAAACGAUGAGUACUAGGUGUUGGGGGUAUCGACCCCCUCAGUGCCGAAGCUAACGCGAUAAGUACUCCGCCUGAGGACUACGGCCGCAAGGCUAAAACUCAAAGGAAUUGACGGGGGCCCGCACAAGCA
rnacentral:rRNA from 1 species